rnacentral:rRNA from 1 species
GGGGAAUAUUGCACAAUGGGCGCAAGCCUGAUGCAGCCAUGCCGCGUGUAUGAAGAAGGCCUUCGGGUUGUAAAGUACUUUCAGCGGGGAGGAAGGUGUUGUGGUUAAUAACCGCAGCAAUUGACGUUACCCGCAGAAGAAGCACCGGCUAACUCCGUGCCAGCAGCCGCGGUAAUACGUAGGUGGCAAGCGUUGUCCGGAAUUAUUGGGCGUAAAGGGCGUGUAGGUGGAUUCUUAAGUCGUGUGUCUAAGUGCGGUGCUCAACACCGUAUGGGCGCAGGAAACUGGGAAUCUUGAGUGCAGGAGAGGAAAGUGGAAUUCCCAGUGUAGCGGUGAAAUGCGUAGAUAUUGGGAGGAACACCAGUGGCGAAGGCGACUUUCUGGACUGUGUCUGACACUGAGGCGCGAAAGCCAGGGGAGCGAACG